rnacentral:SRP_RNA from 1 species
UGACAAACAUACCCCAGAGGAGUAAAAUAGCCUUGUUCCUAAGGCAAGGCUAAGUGGAACAGACCGGUUUUCUUCCGGUCCUGUCGAUUGGCGUAAUUGGGUCCUGCGCGGCAGAUGUCUGUGAACCCCGCUAGGUCCGUGAGGAAGCAACGGUAAGUGGACCUCUCUGGGUGUCGUAGGGGUGCCUGAUUGCGCUAAUCGGCAGGACCGGGCGAAAAUCGGUUUCCUGUGUCA